GGUUAGGGUUAGGGUUAGGGUUGGAGUUAGGGUUAGUGUUGGAGCUAGGGUUAGGGUUGGGCUUGGAGCUAGGAUUUUUCUGAGUGCACUGAACCAACUCCCGAGUCUCUAGGACAUUCCUAAAAAAAUUUGAUUUUUUCCCAUAGGAAUGCAUGGGUUAGGGUUAGGGUUAGGGUUGGAGCUAGGGUUAGGGUUAGGGUUAGGGUUGGAGUUAGGGUUAGUGUUGGAGCUAGGGUUAGGGUUGGGCUUGGAGCUAGGAUUUUUCUGAGUGCACUGAACCAACUCCUGAGUCUCUAGGACAUUCCUAAAAAAAAUUGAUUUUUUUCCCAUAGGAAUGCAUGGGUUAGGGUUAUGGUUAGGGUUAGGGUUGGAGCUAGGGUUAGGGUUAGGGUUAGGGUUGGAGUUAGGGUUAGUGUUGGAUCUAGGGUUAGGGUUGGGCUUGGAGCUAGGAUUUUUCUGAGUGCACUGAACCAACUCCCGAGUCUCUAGGACAUUCCUAAAAAAAUUUGAUUUUUUCCCAUAGGAAUGCAUGGGUUAGGUUUAUGGUUAGGGUUAGGGUUAGGGUUAGAGCUAGGGUUAGGGUUAGGGUUAGGGUUGGAGUUAGGGUUAGUGUUGGAGCUAGGGUUAGGGUUGGGCUUGGAG